rnacentral:rRNA from 1 species
GAUCCGGGCUCGGGAUGAACGCUAGCUACAGGCUUAACACAUGCAAGUCGAGGGGCAUCAGUUUGGUUUGCUUGCAAACCAAAGCUGGCGACCGGCGCACGGGUGAGUAACACGUAUCCAACCUGCCUCAUACUCGGGGAUAGCCUUUCGAAAGAAAGAUUAAUAUCCGAUAGCAUAUAUUUCCCGCAUGGGUUUUAUAUUAAAGAAAUUCGGUAUGAGAUGGGGAUGCGUUCCAUUAGUUUGUUGGGGGGGUAACGG